rnacentral:rRNA from 1 species
AUGGCCUACCGCCUUGGUGAUCCCUCCCGUCGCCCGGCGCCCGGCGCCACGUUUUCCGUGUGCUCCCAGGCCAUCGAGGAUGCCGCCCGCCACCUUAGGGGCACGGCGGUGGUGGUCACGCUUUCGGAGCCGCGGCAAGACAUCAAUCCGCAGCUCGUCGCCAAGGCCAUCGAGCAUGACCUGGCCAUUCCCUGGGACCAGAUGCAUGUGUCUAGGCAUCACCCCGAAGACUUCCUCAUCCGGUUCGCGCAGCCUCGUCACCAGACUGUUGCAGUCGACGCCGGCGUUGCCACCUGUCGGGGCAUUGCGCUCAGCAUCGCGCCCUGGAGGCCAGCGGCCGGCGGCAACAAGCGCGCCUGGCGGUUCUACUGCCGGAUCGCGCUCGAGAACCUCCCUGUCCAAGCGUGGCGCCGCGAGGUCGUCCAGGACGUCGUCGGCCUGGCAUGCUGGGUCGACAGGCUGGAGCGACAGACCUCCUCCCUGUCCAACACCGCUGCUGCCUAUGCCUGGGUCUGGGCUUGGAGCCCUGACGACAUCCCACUGGGUAGCGGCCACUCCUUCCUGGACCGCGCCCCCGAUGGCCGUUCCGCGCUCCCCGAAGGCACGCCGUGGGAGGAGGCCCUACACGGCCCUCAGUUCCCCGUCAUCAUCCACCUGGACACGAUCAAGGACUACACCCCCUCUCCGAUCGUGCGCCCGGGGCCAGCCACGAGUGGCCACUCGUGGAGCACCUCCCCUGGACGCGUUUCUUCCAGGACGGGACGGUGGCGCCUGCGCCGCGCUGACGAUCUCGUCAGGAUCACCCACGCUCUCGCCCGAGGCCUCGGGGCGACGAUGAUGAAGACGACGAUGUGGGUGACCGUGGACGGCAGCGCCGGGACGGGUCACGUUCCUCCUGGCGUGGCGGCCUCCUGGGCUGCCGUUCGGACGGCGCUGUUCGCGGCGCUCCCGUCGGUGGGCGCCGUCAGCAUGGCUCCUCCUCCCGUCAUGGACGUCAUCACGCUGUGA